rnacentral:rRNA from 1 species
GAUGAACGCUGGCGGCGUGCCUAAUACAUGCAAGUCGAGCGAACAGACGAGGAGCUUGCUCCUUUGACGUUAGCGGCGGACGGGUGAGUAACACGUGGAUAACCUACCUAUAAGACUGGGAUAACUUCGGGAAACCGGAGCUAAUACCGGAUAACAUGUUGAACCGCAUGGUUCAACAGUGAAAGACGGUCUUGCUGUCACUUAUAGAUGGGUCCGCGCCGCAUUAGCUAGUUGGUAAGGUAACGGCUUACCAAGGCAACGAUGCGUAGCCGACCUGAGAGGGUGAUCGGCCACACUGGAACUGAGACACGGCCCAGACUCCUACGGGAGGCAGCAGUAGGGAAUCUUCCGCAAUGGGCGAAAGCCUGACGGAGCAACGCCGCGUGAGUGAAGAAGGUCUUCGGAUCGUAAAACUCUGUUAUUAGGGAAGAACAAAUGUGUAAGUAACUAUGCACGUCUUGACGGUACCUAAUCAGAAAGCCACGGCUAACUACGUG